AUGCAGGGUGUGAUGGUACUGACAAUCUCGACGGUUGCGCCGGGGCUGCGCCCGGCGACGUGCGGGGACGCGACGGGGCAGAGCCCCGACUGCGUUCCGGCGAACGGCACGCAGCUCGGGGUGCUGUACCUGGGGCUGUACAUGACGGCGCUGGGGACAGGCGGGCUCAAGUCGAGCGUGUCCGGGUUCGGGUCGGACCAGUUCGACGAGUCCGACGACGGCGAGCGCAAGAAGAUGAUGCGCUUCUUCAACUGGUUCUACUUCUUCGUCAGCAUCGGCGCGCUGCUCGCCGUCACCGUGCUGGUGUACGUGCAGGACAACAUCGGCCGCCGCUGGGGAUACGGCAUCUGCGCCGUCGGCAUCCUCUGCGGGCUCGGCGUGUUCCUGUGCGGCACCAAGAUGUACCGGUUCAAGAAGCUCGUCGGGAGCCCGCUGACACAGGUCGCCGCCGUGACGACCGCCGCGUGGAGCAAGCGCACCUUGCCGCUUCCGUCCGACCCGAGCAUGCUCUACGACGUCGACGAUGCGGCCGCCGCCGGUGAGGACCUCAAGGGCAAGCAGAAGCUGCCCCACAGCAAGGAAUGCCGAUUCCUAGACCAUGCGGCCAUCAUCGACCGGGCAGAGGCGGCGUCGCCGGCGGAGGCGAGCAAGUGGGCGCUGUGCACGCGGACGGACGUGGAGGAGGUGAAGCAGGUGGUGCGCAUGCUGCCGAUCUGGGCGACCACCAUCAUGUUCUGGACCAUCCACGCGCAGAUGACCACCUUCGCCGUCGAGCAGGCCUCCCUCAUGGACCGCGGCAUCGGCGGCUCGGGGUUCCUCAUCCCGGCGGGCUCCCUCACCGUCUUUCUCAUCGGCUCCAUCCUCCUCACCGUGCCCCUCUACGACCGCCUCAUCUCGCCCGUGGCCCGCCGCAUCACGGGCAAUCCGCACGGCCUCUCCCCGCUCCAGCGCGUCUUCGUCGGCCUCUUCCUGUCCAUCGUCGGCAUGGCCGCGGCGGCGAUCGUCGAGCGCCACCGCCUCACGUCGUCCACUCACGGGGUCACGCUCACGGUGUUCCUGCUCAUGCCGCAGUUUCUGCUCGUCGGCGCCGGCGAGGCGUUCACGUACAUGGGCCAGCUAGACUUCUUCCUGCGAGAGUGCCCCAAGGGGAUGAAGACCAUGAGCACGGGGCUAUUCCUCAGCACCUGCGCGCUCGGCUUCUUCUUCAGCACGGUCACAGUAACCAUCGUGCACAAGGUCACCGGCCACGGGCCACGGGGCAGCGGCGGCUGGCUCGCCGACAACCUCGACCAGGGGAGGCUCGACUACUUCUACUGGUUGCUCGCCGUCAUGAGCGCCAUCAAUAUCAUCUUUUUCACGAUGGCGGCAAGGGGCUACGUGUACAAGGAGAAGCGCUUGGCCGAUGCCGGCAUCGAGCUCGCCGACGAGGAGGCCAUGAUCGUCGGUCACUGA
rnacentral:rRNA from 1 species